GCUGGGCGUGGUGGUGCACGCCUGUAGUCCCAGCUACUCAGGAGGCUGAGGCAGGAGAAUCGCUUGAACCCAGGAGGCAGAGGUUGCAGUGAGCUGAGAUCAUGCCACUGCAUUCUAGCCUGAAUGACAGAGCGAGACUCUGUCUCAG
rnacentral:sRNA from 1 species